UGGGGAAUAUUGGACAAUGGGGGGAACCCUGAUCCAGCAAUGCCGCGUGUGUGAAGAAGGCCUGAGGGUUGUAAAGCACUUUCAGAGGGGAGGAGGACUAUUAGGUUAAGAGCUAGAUAGUUGGACGUUACCCUCAGAAGCAGCACCGGCUAACUCCGUGCCAGCAGCCGCGGUAAUACGGGGGGUGCAAGCGUUAAUCGGAAUUAUUGGGCGUAAAGGGCGCGUAGGCGGCCAGAUAAGUCCCGGGUGAAAUCCCUCGGCUCAACCGAGGAACUGCCUUGGAAACUGUCUGGCUCGAGGCCGGGAGAGGGUAGUGGAAUUCCCAGUGUAGCGGUGAAAUGCGUAGAUACUGGGAGGAACACCGGUGGCGAAGGCGGCUACCUGGACCGGUUCUGACGCUGAUGCGCGAAAGCGUGGGGAGCAAACAGGAUUAGAUACCCAGGUAGUCCCUGAGCGGGCUGGCAAGGCGCAU
rnacentral:rRNA from 1 species